ACCUCUGUUGCUUUGGCGGGCCGCGGUCCUCCGCACCGGCGCCCUUCGGGGGGGNCUGGCCAGCGCCCGCCAGAGGACCAUAAAACUCCAGUCAGUGAACUUCGCAGUCUGAAAAACAAGUUAAUAAACUAAAACUUUCAACAACGGAUCUCUUGGUUCUGGCAUCGAUGAAGAACGCAGCGAAAUGCGAUAAGUAAUGUGAAUUGCAGAAUUCAGUGAAUCAUCGAAUCUUUGAACGCACAUUGCGCCCCUUGGUAUUCCGAGGGGCAUGCCUGUUCGAGCGUCAUUUCAACCCUCAAGCUCUGCUUGGUAUUGGGCUCCGUCCUCCACGGACGCGCCUUAAAGACCUCGGCGGUGGCGUCUUGCCUCAAGCGUAGUAGAAAACACCUCGCUUUGGAGCGCACGGCGUCGCCCGCCGGACGAACCUUUGAAUUAUUUCU
rnacentral:rRNA from 1 species